GGGGAUUUAGCUCAGUGGCAUAAGCACCUGCCUGGCAAGCAUGAGUUCAAUCUCCA
rnacentral:tRNA from 1 species